rnacentral:rRNA from 1 species
GAUGAACGCUGGCGGCGUGCCUAAUACAUGCAAGUCGAGCGAACGGACGAGAAGCUUGCUUCUCUGAUGUUAGCGGCGGACGGGUGAGUAACACGUGGAUAACCUACCUAUAAGACUGGGAUAACUUCGGGAAACCGGAGCUAAUACCGGAUAAUAUUUUGAACCGCAUGGUUCAAAAGUGAAAGACGGUCUUGCUGUCACUUAUAGAUGGAUCCGCGCUGCAUUAGCUAGUUGGUAAGGUAACGGCUUACCAAGGCAACGAUGCAUAGCCGACCUGAGAGGGUGAUCGGCCACACUGGAACUGAGACACGGUCUAGACUCCUACGGGAGGCAGCAGUAGGGAAUCUUCCGCAAUGGGCGAAAGCCUGACGGAGCAACGCCGCGUGAGUGAUGAAGGUCUUCGGAUCGUAAAACUCUGUUAUUAGGGAAGAACAUAUGUGUAAGUAACUGUGCACAUCUUGACGGUACCUAAUCAGAAAGCCACGGCUAACUACGUG